AGAUUGAACGCUGGCGGCAUGCCUUACACAUGCAAGUCGAACGGCAGCACGGGGGCAACCCUGGUGGCGAGUGGCGAACGGGUGAGUAAUACAUCGGAACGUGUCCAGUUGUGGGGGAUAACCAGUCGAAAGAUUGGCUAAUACCGCAUGCGCCCGAAAGGGGGAAAGCGGGGGACCUGUGAGGGCCUCGCGCGAUUGGAGCGGCCGAUGUCCGAUUAGCUAGUUGGUGAGGUAACGGCUCACCAAGGCGACGAUCGGUAGCUGGUCUGAGAGGACGACCAGCCACACUGGGACUGAGACACGGCCCAGACUCCUACGGGAGGCAGCAGUGGGAAUUUUGGACAAUGGGGGCAACCUGAUCCAGCCAUGCCGCGUGUGUGAUGAAGGCCUUCGGUUGUAAAGCACUUUCGGACGGAACGAAAUCGCGCGGGCGAAGUAUCCCGCGUGGAGUGACGGUAACCGGUAAGAAGAAGCACCGGACUAACGUACGUCGCCGA
rnacentral:rRNA from 1 species